rnacentral:rRNA from 1 species
ACUGCUCAGUAACACGUGGAUAACCUGCCCUUGGGUCCGGCAUAACCCCGGGAAACUGGGGAUAAUUCCGGAUAACGCAUAUGUGCUGGAAUGCUUUAUGCGUCAAAUGGAUUCGUCUGCCCAAGGAUGGGUCUGCGGCCUAUCAGGUAGUAGUGGGUGUAAUGUACCUACUAGCCGACAACGGGUACGGGUUGUGAGAGCAAGAGCCCGGAGAUGGAUUCUGAGACAUGAAUCCAGGCCCUACGGGGCGCAGCAGGCGCGAAAACUUUACAAUGCGGGAAACCGUGAUAAGGGGACACCGAGUGUCAGCAUCAUAUGCUGGCUGUCCAGGUGUGUAAAAUACACCUGUUAGCAAGGGCCGGGCAAGACCGGUGCCAGCCGCCGCGGUAACACCGGCGGCCCGAGUGGUGAUCGUGAUUAUUGGGUCUAAAGGGUCCGUAGCCGGUUUGGUCAGUCCUCCGGGAAAUCUGAUAGCUCAACUAUUAGGCUAUCGGGGGAUACUGCCAGACUUGGAACCGGGAGAGGUAAGAGGUACUACAGGGGUAGGAGUGAAAUCUUGUAAUCCCUGUGGGACCACCUGUGGCGAAGGCGUCUUACCAGAACGGGUUCGACGGUGAGGGACGAAAGCUGGGGGCACGAACCGGAUUAGAUACCCGGGUAGUCCCAGCCGUAAACGAUGCUCGCUAGGUGUCAGGCAUGGCGCGACCGUGUCUGGUGCCGCAGGGAAGCCGGGAAGCGAGCCACCUGGGAAGUACGGCCGCAAGGCUGAAACUUAAAGGAAUUGGCGGGGGAGCAC